rnacentral:rRNA from 1 species
UUUCAAAGAUAGAGCGGACGGACCAGGAACAGCGCGGCGCCGAGGGGAAGGCUCGAUGGUGUCAACCCCGCUUUGGCUUUAAGCGUCCGAUCCCAAACGAGACGCAGCACGGGUGUCAAGCGGUGACUGCGUCCCUACGUCUCCAUGCCCGACGUCGACGCGUUUUUCGGCCGCCGGAGGAGCAGCAGAGCUGGCGGUGGAGGCCGCGCGGGGGACCGCCGGAAGCGGCUGCUGUCGCUACUGCUACACCUCCGGCUGUAGGAGGCGGUCAGUAGCUUCUUUGCGCGGGAGCUCUUCCACCUCCUUGACGUCUUCUUCCGCUACCUCCUCCUAGGGAGCCACAAACGAAUACUACUCCACAUGCUACUAUACUUCCUCUUCCGGCGAGCCGGGUUCUAUGUCCGGUUCCAACAAGCGCUCAGUUUCAUGUAACUUCGUGAAUUCCUCUUUCGUCUUGUUGCAUUUUCUCUUGUCCUGUAUCACAUACUCUCCUUCGAAGUAUUUCUCUCCUCGUUCCUUCUGGUGGACAAACGACUGUUCCUGUUCAAACAUUGUAGACGGAUGUCCUUCUUUGAACUUCUCCUCUUUUUUACCGAUCUCCUUCUUUCUGCUGCCGUCGAAGUUCUUCUUUCCCUACUACAUUGAUUUUUCUUUCUGAACUCACUAAAAAUGAAACCCGAACGAUUCUUACAACGAAAGCCACGUGCCUGUGUACUCCCGUGUCUUCGACGUCUUGGACUUUUCAACCUUUCAUUUCGUCUUCUAUAAGUUCCAUCGUUCAGACUACGGCUUCCUAGAUCAGCAAGAGGAUUCGCGUCCUCCCUUAGGUCACCUCCUAGACUCUUCCGAGUACUUUCACCUUCACACCGUCUUUGACGUUGAUGACUCUUUCUAAGAUGUAGACGAUCUAGAUGACUCUUUCUCCGUAUACAAAGGAGUAGACGAAGUGUCCGAGAGGUCUUAUGAGUUGGUCGUGGUUAGUGGCCACUCGUGAUGUUCUCCUCAUUACUACGUGAACGGCGCCGAUCUCUUGCUCGUGACCGAGCAUUCUCUCGUUUCCUCGUCGUUUGUACUUCAUUCUACGUCUAUAUUAGAGUUGUGCGUUUUCUAGUCCCGGCGCAUUAUGUGAACUGUAAACAAAAACUGAACGUCGUAAAAGUCAACAACUACGUACAUAGAGGGACCGUAUUUAUAUAAGUCGAAGACACCAGUUUUAUAGACAUGUAGCUGUAGACUGUUCGUUCGUGUGAGUCUGUAGUCUUACUGGUAAGACGAUACGUAUUAGUCCUCUACUCUCCAAUUACACUCGGUUAAUAUAAAUGACUUAUAAACGCGACGGUUUUUUCUCUUUUUGGAACCGUGUCAGUCCGACUACCGUUAGACACGGGAAAGCACACAAGGUAACAUGAGACAUUGAUACAUUACUGAGUUCGACCAUCAAUAACUGACCAGCCACAACUUAGUCUCUAUAACUCUACCACAUACGGGAAAGGGUUUAUUUUUUCUACAUACGUCUAAAAACCAAAAGGUUCAAAAGUACUAGGAAUAAGGUACAAGUCUAGAGCAGUCAGCAGAUACAGUCGUAUGAGGCGGUUGGACCACGCGCCUUUUACUUGAAAGCCACAUAGUUAUAGUAAAAACGUUCCACAA